UCUGGCAGCAAUGGCGAGAAGGUCACACCCGUUCCCAUACCGAACACGGAAGUUAAGCUUCUCAGCGCCGAUGGUAGUUGGGACAUGCGUCCCCGUGAGAGUAGGACGCUGCCAGGC
rnacentral:rRNA from 1 species